NNNAAAAUGGCUGAUAAAAGUAUUAGACUGUAAAUCUAAGAAUAGAGGUCAAGUCCUCUUUUUGCCAA
rnacentral:tRNA from 1 species